rnacentral:rRNA from 1 species
GAUGAACGCUAGCGACAGGCCUAACACAUGCAAGUCGAGGGGCAGCACAUGAGUAGCAAUACGAUGGUGGCGACCGGCGCACGGGUGAGUAACACGUAUGCAACCUGCCUCCUACUAUGGGACAACCCGUUGAAAGACGGACUAAUACCGUAUAAUACAGGGGCUCCGCAUGGAGAUCUUUGUUAAAGAUUUAUUGGUAGAAGAUGGGCAUGCGUAUGAUUAGAUAGUUGGUGAGGUAACGGCUCACCAAGUCAACGAUCAUUAGGGGUUCUGAGAGGAAGGUCCCCCACACUGGUACUGAGACACGGACCAGACUCCUACGGGAGGCAGCAGUGAGGAAUAUUGGUCAAUGGACGAGAGUCUGAACCAGCCAAGUCGCGUGAAGGAAGACGGUUCUAUGAAUUGUAAACUUCUUUUGUGCAGGAAUAAAGUGGGUUACGUGUAACCUUUUGUAUGUACUGUACGAAUAAGGAUCGGCUAACUCCGUGCCAGCAGCCGCAGUAACAC